rnacentral:rRNA from 1 species
GACGAACGCUGGCGGCGUGCUUAACACAUGCAAGUCGAACGGAAAGGCCCUGCUUGCAGGGUACUCGAGUGGCGAACGGGUGAGUAACACUUGGGUGAUCUGCCCUGCACUUCGGGAUAAGCCUGGGAAACUGGGUCUAAUACCGGAUAGGAGCCAUUUUUAGUGUGAUGGUUGGAAAGUUUUUUCGGUGUAGGAUGAGCUCGCGGCCUAUCAGCUUGUUGGUGGGGUAAUGGCCUACCAAGGCGGCGACGGGUAGCCGGCCUGAGAGGGUGGACGGCCACAUUGGGACUGAGAUACGGCCCAGACUCCUACGGGAAGCAGCAGUGGGGAAUAUUGUACAAUGGGCGCAAGCCUGAUGCAGCGACGCCGCGUGGGGGAUGACGGCCUUCGGGUUGUAAACUCCUUUCGCUAGGGACGAAGCUUUUGUGACGGUACCUAGAUAAGAAGCACCGGCUAACUACGUG